UACGGGGGGGGCAAGCGUUGUUCGGAAUUACUGGGCGUAAAGGGCUCGUAGGCGGCCAACUAAGUCAGACGUGAAAUCCCUCGGCUUAACCGGGGAACUGCAUCUGAUACUGGAUGGCUUGAGUUCGGGAGAGGGAUGCGGAAUUCCUGGUGUAGCGGUGAAAUGCGCAGAUAUCAGGAGGAACACCGAUGGCGAAGGCAGGUCUCUGGGCCGAUACUGACGCUGAGGAGCGAAAGCGUGGGGAGCGAACAGG
rnacentral:rRNA from 1 species